rnacentral:rRNA from 1 species
UGAGGAAUAUUGCACAAUGGGGGAAACCCUGAUGCAGCGACGCCGCGUGGGUGAAGAAGGCCUUCGGGUUGUAAAGCCCUUUUGCCACUGACGAGAGAGGACGGUAGGUGGCGAAUAAGCCUCGGCUAACUACGUGCCAGCAGCCGCGGUAAAACGUAGGAGGCGAGCGUUAUCCGGAGUUACUGGGCGUAAAGCGUGCGCAGGCGGUUUCGUAAGUCAGGUGUGAAAGAUGCCGGCUCAACCGGGAGAACGCGCUUGAGACUGCGGGACUAGAGUGGGAGAGAGGGACGUGGAAUUCCGGGUGGAGCGGUGAAAUGUGUAGAGAUCCGGAGGAACACCAGAGGCGCAAGCGGCGUCCUGGGUCCCAACUGACGCUGAGGCACGAAAGCUUGGGGAGCGAACGGG